CGAUUGGCUAAUUCAAAAAAAUCCUGAAUUCCUGUUGGCUGGAUUUUUUUGAUCGAUCAUACCGUUCAGACUAAUAGUAUGCACGGAAAGGUCUAUGGUAUUUAUGUAAAUUGACUGAAAUAUUAUGUAAAUUUCGUCUCUUAUUGUUAUACGCGUACCCGCCGAUUUUAUAGCAUGUGCGUUUUAUGGCAAUUUAAUCGGAAAAUUUAUCAGAAGUUCUAAACUAAUGCUAGCCAUGUCUGGACUCUGUUAGUAUUUACGUAACCGCAAAGGCUGCUUUAGAGAAUGAUGAUCGACAAUAAGACUUAUUGAGCGCUGUGAACAACACAAGCUUCUUCCUCGCACCGCGAAAUUUUGGUGCGGAAUCUUACAUCACGAAGUACGUUCGACAGAAAACAAAAACGUUUUGUACGGCCUUAAGGUAAAUAUAUUCUAUUUUAAUUAACUAGAUAUGGCAUUAUAGCUGUUGUAGGCUGUAGUGGAUUGCGCGUCUGUACGUAAUAAGAGACGAAAUUUACAUAAUAUUUCAGUCAAUUUACAUAAAUACUGCGGCUUAAUACUGCGGCUUAAUACAAGCAGUUUCAGUUUGCUUAUACUUUGUUUAUGCCUCUUGUGGAAUGUGGGCUUUAUAUAUUGU